CAUGCUUACAGAUAAGUGUCGUCUUAUUGUUCUAGUCCAGGUUCUUGCAAGAUUCUGAUUUAUUUCCGGAUGAGCCGCUUGUAACCCAAGCUCGUGCUGGUGCCAAGUUUCAGCCCAGGUUUAAACGUAAAGCCAAAGAUGAAACUUCUGGCUCAACUCAACCCCUUCAAACCACCCUGAAAUUACCAAUGAUGAUGCCACUACGGUAGCGUCCGCCGCCAUUGAUGCAGUUCAUGUUGUCUAGCCCGACAGUGUUGUGGAUUACAGUAGGAGCUCCCAAGUAGCUGCCACAGAUUCUCUGUUUGCUGCUGCGGCCGUUUCAGAUUGUUGCAAUGAUGCUAAUUCGAGCUUUGAAAAAUCAGUUGGGAAGGUAAAGAAAAGCUAUACUUUCUAUCUCGUUUAUAGUAAUUAUAUUGCUCCAACUCUUCAUUAAUACCUGGAAUAGAGUUUGGGAUAUGAUUCUCCAUGGAUCAUCAAUUAUGAGAAGUUUAGAGAAAAAUUAACAGAUAUCUGUAGGACACAUAUCUAUUUGAUACGCAAGGCUGAGUUGGAGUAACAUAGAGUAGUACUAUUGGUGAACGAGAACAUUUUUUCCAAGACCGGGUAUAAAUUAUUUGGUAGAUUUUGGAAUACUGUUUUCAUCUAAGGGUGAAGGAAAUCGUUCACAAAUGACAUUUUUUUCAGAAUGCAGAUGCUUUUUAUGGUUUGGAAUGUUUUGAUCCUUUAAGUACUCAACCUUCAAAUAAUGAUGGAGAUAUUCAGAUUGAUUAUGAAGGAAACAGGAAACAGUUUCAGGAAGCAGGAGCCUUUCCUGAUGUUGACACUCUAGAUAUUAUGUCAGAUAUGAAGAUUGCCUCUGGAAGGCGUGCUGGAAAAUUCAAACCCAAGCUUAGACUACAAACUAGUGUAUUCACCUCACCAC